GGUCGGGUGGUGUAGUUGGUUAUCACAUCUCGUUAACAUGUAUGUUUAACAUCAAAUACCGAGAAGGUCCUGGGAUCGAGCCCCAGCCUGAUCA